GACGAACGCUGGCGGCGUGCCUAAUACAUGCCAGUAGAACGCACAGUUUAUACCGUAGCUUGCUACACCAUAGACUGUGAGUUGCGAACGGGUGAGUAACGCGUAGGUAACCUGCCUGGUAGCGGGGGAUAACUAUUGGAAACGAUAGCUAAUACCGCAUAAUAUUGAUUAUUGCAUGAUAAUUGAUUGAAAGAUGCUAUUGCAUCACUACCAGAUGGACCUGCGUUGUAUUAGCUAGUAGGUGAGGUAACGGCUCACCUAGGCGACGAUACAUAGCCGACCUGGGAGGGUGGUCGGCCACACUGGGACUGAGACACGGCCCAGACUCCUACGGGAGGCAGCAGUAGGGAAUCUUCGGCAAUGGACGAAAGUCUGACCGAGCAACGCCGCGUGAGUGAAGAAGGUUUUCGGAUCGUAAAGCUCUGUUGUAAGAGAAGAACGGGUGUGAGAGUGGAAAGUUCACACUGUGACGGUAUCUUACCAGAAAGGGACGGCUAACUACGUG
rnacentral:rRNA from 1 species